rnacentral:rRNA from 1 species
CCUACGGGUGGCAGCAGUGAGGAAUAUUGGUCAAUGGCCGCAGGGCUGAACCAGCCAAGUCGCGUGAGGGAUGACGGUCCUAUGGAUUGUAAACCUCUUUUGUCAGGGAGCAAAGGGCGCCACGUGUGGCGUUUUGCGAGUACCUGAAGAAAAAGCAUCGGCUAACUCCGUGCCAGCCGCCGCGGUAAUACGGAGGAUGCGAGCGUUAUCCGGAUUUAUUGGGUUGAAAGGGUGCGCAGUCGGAAUGUCAAGUCCGCGGGAAAAUUUCGGGGCUCAACCCCGUCGGGCCGUUGAAACUGGUGAUAUAGAGUGAGAGAGAAGUAUGCGGAAUGAGUGGUGUAGCGGUGAAAUGCAUAGAUAUCACGAAGAACUCCGAUUGCGAAGGCAGCAUACCGGCGCUAAACUGACGCUCAUGCACGAAAGCGUGGGUAUCGAACAGGAUUAGAUACCCGAGUAGUC